rnacentral:rRNA from 1 species
GACGAACGCUGGCGGCGUGCUUAACACAUGCAAGUCGAGCGGUAAGGCCCUUCGGGGGAGACGAGCGGCGAAGGGGUGAGUAAGACGAAAGUAAUAUUCACAUCACCUUGGCAUAACUCUAGGAUAACGGAGCUAAUACUGAUUAUGACUACUUCAGGCAUCUGAUGGUGGGGGAAAGUUUCGGCGGGGAGGGAUGAGCUCGCGGCGUAUCAGCUUGUUGGUGGGGUAGUGGCCUACCAAGGCUUCGACGGGUAGCCGGCCUGAGAGGGUGACCGGCCACACUGGGACUGAGACACGGCCCAGACUCCUACGGGAGGCAGCAGUGGGGAAUAUUGGACAAUGGGCGGAAGCCUGAUCCAGCAACGCCGCGUGCGGGAUGACGGCCUUCGGGUUGUAAACCUCUUUCAGCAGUGACGAAGCGCAAGUGACGGUACCUGCAGAAGAAGCACCGGCCAACUACGUG